CCCAAUGGUUGUCAGCUGUCCAGGCUAGCACGAUGCCUGUGACGGUGUUACACUGUGGGAAGGGCAAGCGCUGCCCAGUGGGGUCUGGCUCCAAGCACCCUUUCAGGGUUGGGGUGGCCUGUCCCAUUGGGCAACAUCUUGCACCUAUUGGGAGUGGAAUGGCUCCUCCUGUGGAGCUGGUCCUAGUCUGUAUGCAAACAUU
rnacentral:snoRNA from 1 species